CCUACGGGCGGCAGCAGUGGGGAAUAUUGGACAAUGGGCGAAAGCCUGAUCCAGCCAUGCCGCGUGUGUGAAGAAGGCCUUCGGGUUGUAAAGCACUUUCAGUGGGGAAGAAAGCCUUGGGGCUAAUACCCUCGAGGAAGGACAUCACCCACAGAAGAAGCACCGGCUAACUCCGGGCCAGCAGCCGCGGUAAUACGGAGGGUGCGAGCGUUAAUCGGAAUUACUGGGCGUAAAGCGCGCGUAGGCGGUCUGAUAAGCCGGUUGUGAAAGCCCCGGGCUCAACCUGGGAACGGCAUCCGGAACUGUCAGGCUAGAGUGCAGGAGAGGAAGGUAGAAUUCCCGGUGUAGCGGUGAAAUGCGUAGAGAUCGGGAGGAAUACCAGUGGCGAAGGCGGCCUUCUGGACUGACACUGACGCUGAGGUGCGAAAGCGUGGGUAGCAAACAGGAUUAGAUACCCGAGUAGUC
rnacentral:rRNA from 1 species